UACGUAGGGUGCAAGCGUUAAUCGGAAUUACUGGGCGUAAAGCGUGCGCAGGCGGCUUUGCAAGACAGAUGUGAAAUCCCCGGGCUCAACCUGGGAACUGCAUUUGUGACUGCAUAGCUAGAGUACGGUAGAGGGGGAUGGAAUUCCGCGUGUAGCAGUGAAAUGCGUAGAUAUGCGGAGGAACGCCGAUGGCGAAGGCAAUCCCCUGGACCUGUACUGACGCUCAUGCACGAAAGCGUGGGGAGCAAACAGG
rnacentral:rRNA from 1 species